AGUGAACGCUGGCGGUAGGCCUAACACAUGCCAGUCGAACGGCAGCACAGUAAGAGCUUGCUCUUACGGGUGGCGAGUGGCGGACGGGUGAGGAAUACAUCGGAAUCUACUUUUUCGUGGGGGAUAACGUAGGGAAACUUACGCUAAUACCGCAUACGACCUACGGUUGAAAGCAGGGGAUCUUCUGACCUUGCGCGAUUGAAUGAGCCGAUGUCGGAUUAGCUAGUUGGCGGGGUAAAGGCCCACCAAGGCGACGAUCCGUAGCUGGUCUGAGAGGAUGAUCAGCCACACUGGAACUGAGACACGGUCCAGACUCCUACGGGAGGCAGCAGUGGGGAAUAUUGGACAAUGGGCGCAAGCCUGAUCCAGCCAUACCGCGUGGGUGAAGAAGGCCUUCGGGUUGUAAAGACCUUUUGUUGGGAAAGAAAAGCAGCAGGUUAAUACCCCGCUGUUCUGACGGUACCCAAAGAAUAAGCACCGGCUAACUUCGUG
rnacentral:rRNA from 1 species